GACGAACGCUGGCGGCGUGCUUAACACAUGCAAGUCGAACGGAAAGGCCCUGCUUUUGUGGUGUGCUCGAGUGGCGAACGGGUGAGUAACACGUGAGUAACCUGCCCUUGACUUUGGUAUAACUUCAGGAAACUGGGGCUAAUACCGUAUAGGAGCUCCUGCUGCAUGGUGGGGGUUGGAAAGUUUCGGCGGUUGGGGAUGGACUCGCGGCUUAUCAGCUUGUUGGUGGGGUAGUGGCUUACCAAGGCUUUGACGGGUAGCCGGCCUGAGAGGGUGACCGGCCACAUUGGGACUGAGAUACGGCCCAGACUCCUACGGGAGGCAGCAGUGGGGAAUAUUGCACAAUGGGCGGAAGCCUGAUGCAGCAACGCCGCGUGCGGGAUGACGGCCUUCGGGUUGUAAACCGCUUUCGCCUGUGACGAAGCGUGAGUGACGGUAAUGGGUAAAGAAGCACCGGCUAACUACGUG
rnacentral:rRNA from 1 species